UAGGAGUGGUGCAUCGUGAACAUCUCCAAAGAGCUGGCGUCGUGCUGGAAACCAGGAGGCUAGCUAGCUCUUUCCAAAAAGGCAUAUGAUAAACAGCCAGCUAGCUAGCUAGGUUUUGGUCCUAUCUAGUCACCAUCCAUCUACACCGGCGUUUCAAAUCCCCUUUUUCAGUAUAAUAUGGUGAUUUCAUCAAGCAAAAACGGACAGGUACGGCCUAUCAGCUAAAUUCACAGGUAACGCUAUUGCUGUUUCACUGCUUCCGAGCACUGACCCAGAUUAUCUACUGGGAAGAUGAUGGAGGAGAGACCUGUAUCUACUGGGAAGAUGAUGGAGGAGAGACCUGUAUCUACUGGGAAGAUGAUGGAGGAGAGACCUGUAUCUACUGGGAAGAUGAUGGAGNGACCUGUAUCUACUGGGAAGAUGAUGGAGGAGAGACCUGUAUCUACUGGGAAGAUGAUGGAGGAGAGACCUGUAUCUACUGGGAAGAUGAUGGAGUAGAGACCUGUAUCUCCUGGGAAGAUGGAGGAGGAGAGACCUGUAUCUACUGGGAAGAUGGAGGAGUAGAGACCUGUAUCUACUGGGAAGAUGGAGGAGUAGAGACCUGUAUCUCCUGGGAAGGCGGAGGAGUAGAGACCUGUAUCUCCUGGGAAGGCGGAGGAGUAGAGACCUGUAUCUCCUGGGAAGUUGGAGGCUGUACACUUUGAUACGUAUACCAUGUGCAACAUUGUUGCGGUGGAAGGGGUUGCAAUGCUGUGAGAACUGCUGUAGUUUUGGUGUGCGUUCAAUGUGCACUUUUCCUGCUUCCUCUAUCUAACCGGCAGAUUGAUGCCUCCUUACUAGAUAGAAGCAUUAGGUUAACACCGUUAUGCUGUUAGUUAGGCUGGUAAUCUGACUCGGGAGAAUUAUACUGAACAAAUGAUAUCAACACAACAAUUUCAAUGAUUUUUCUGAGUUACAGUUCAAAUAAUGAAAUCAGUCAAUUGAAAUAAAUAAAUUAAGCCCUAAUCUAUGGAUUUCGCAGGACUGUGAAGGGCCACAGCCAUGGGUGGCCCUGGGAGGAUAUAGACCCACUCACUGGGGAGCCAGGCCCACUCACUGGGGAGCCAGGCCCACUCACUUGGGAGCCAGGCCCACUCACUGGGGAGCCAGGCCCACUCACUGGGGAGCCAGGCCCACUCACUGGUGCGAGCCCGGCCCACACUGGGAGGCCAGGCCCAGCAUAUCAGACUAUGUGUGUGUGUAUGUGUGUGUUUACAGACAGAAAUACUCCUCAGUUUCAGGGCUCCCGAGUGACGCCGUCUCAGUUUAAGAGGGUCAAUACAACAGACACUGGUCGAUUCCCGCGCUGUAUCACCAACCGGCCGUUGAUA
rnacentral:lncRNA from 1 species